rnacentral:rRNA from 1 species
CCUACGAGUGGCAGCAGUAGGGCAUCUUCGGCAAUGGACGAAAGUCUGACCGAGCAACGCCGCGUGAGUGAAGAAGGUCUUCGGAUUGUAAAACUCUGUUGUUAGAGAAGAACAAGGACGGUCGUAACUGAACGUCCCCUGACGGUAUCUAACCAGAAAGCCACGGCUAACUACGUGCCAGCAGCCGCGGUAAUACGUAGGUGGCAAGCGUUGUCCUGAUUUAGUGGGCGUAAAGCGAGCGCAGGCGGUUUGUGAAUGCUGAUGUGAAAGCCCCCGGCUCAACCGGGGAGUGUAAUUGGAAACUGGGAGACUUGAGUGCAGAAGAGGAGAGUGGAAUUCCAUGUGUAGCGGUGAAAUGCGUAGAUAUAUGGAGGAACACCAGUGGCGAAGGCGGCUCUCUGGUCUGUAACUGACGCUGAGGCUCGAAAGCGUGGGGAGCAAACAGGAUUAGAUACCCCAGUAGUC